rnacentral:rRNA from 1 species
AUUGAACGCUGGCGGCAGGCUUAACACAUGCAAGUCGAGCGGGGUGAUGGUGCUUGCACUAUCACUUAGCGGCGGACGGGUGAGUAAUGCUUAGGAAUCUGCCUAUUAGUGGGGGACAACAUCUCGAAAGGGAUGCUAAUACCGCAUACGUCCUACGGGAGAAAGCAGGGGAUCACUUGUGACCUUGCGCUAAUAGAUGAGCCUAAGUCGGAUUAGCUAGUUGGUGGGGUAAAGGCCUACCAAGGCGACGAUCUGUAGCGGGUCUGAGAGGAUGAGCCGCCACACUGGGAAUGAGACCCGGCCCAGACUCCGACGGGAGGUAGCAGUGGGGAAUAUUGGACAAUGGGGGGAACCCUGAUCCAGCCAUGCCGCGUGUGUGAAGAAGGCCUUAUGGUUGUAAAGCACUUUAAGCGAGGAGGAGGCUCUUUUGGUUAAUACCCAAGAUGAGUGGACGUUACUCGCAGAAUAAGCACCGGCUAACUCUGUGCCAGCCGCCGCGGUAA